rnacentral:rRNA from 1 species
GACGUAGGGCGCGAGCGUUGUCCGGAUUUAUUGGGCGUAAAGAGCUCGUAGGCGGCUCGUUGCGUCGGCUGUGAAAACCCGCAGCUCAACUGUGGGCUUGCAGCUGAUACGGGCGGGCUGGAGUUCGGUAGGGGAGACUGGAAUUCCUGGUGUAGCGGUGAAAUGCGCAGAUAUCAGGAGGAACACCGGUGGCGAAGGCGGGUCUCUGGGCCGAUACUGACGCUGAGGCGCGAAAGCGUGGGGAGCAAACGGG